CCUACGGGGGGCAGCAGUCGAGAAUCAUUCACAAUGGGGGAAACCCUGAUGGUGCGACGCCGCGUGGGGGAAUGAAGGUCUUCAGAUUGUAAACCCCUGUCAUGUGGGAGCAAAUUAAAAAGAUAGUACCACAAGAGGAAGAGACGGCUAACUCUGUGCCAGCAGCCGCGGUAAUACAGAGGUCUCAAGCGUUGUUCGGAAUCACUGGGCGUAAAGCGUGCGUAGGCUGUUUCGUAAGUCGUGUGUGAAAGGCGCGGGCUCAACCCGCGGACGGCACAUGAUACUGCGAGACUAGAGUAAGGGAGGGGGAACCGGAAUGCUCGGUGUAGCAGUGAAAUGCGUAGAUAUCGAGAGGAACACUCGUGGCGAAGGCGGGUUCCUGGACAUUAACUGACGCUGAGGCACGAAGGCCAGGGGAGCGAAAGGGAUUAGAUACCCCAGUAGUC
rnacentral:rRNA from 1 species